rnacentral:lncRNA from 1 species
AUUCUAUUGAUUGGUGAUAAAAUUAAGCUACAAGAUGAUAUUUAAGGAUGAUUGUUUUCUUGGAGAAAUUAUGAGCGUCAGAAGAACUUUGUUGAUAAGGCGUGGGCGCGUGCUGUCAACUGCGGACCUGCAGUUUUUAAUUUAACGUGUUGUGUAUUUUUGGUUAUUUUUGUAAUUACGAAUUUAAUAUUUCAGAUAUUAGUAUUUUAUUUUAAAUAGAACUCUAAAAGAGAAGAGAGAGAGAGUAUUUAAGGGAGGAAUCUAUUGUGAAAAAAGGGAUUGGAGAAAAGAAAGAAACCCUAGAUCUAAACUUUUCUCUUCUCUCUAUGAAGAACUAAACCUAUUUUUCUGGUUGAAGGUUAAUGAAGCUUUGAUUCAUGACUACUGUGAGAUCUUUCUUGUGCUUUAAUUGUUUUAUUGCUUUUUGGGUAUUUGUUUAUUCUCUGAAUUACUGCUGUACCGUACAUCCGCCUUGGCCGUACAGCAGACGUUAGGAAGUGAAAGGUCUAUUCCUAAUGAAAAACUUCCCAAGAGAGAGUUAUCUAAUAGGUAAAUUUCUUUCACUGUUGACAUGUUGAAGAUUGCAGCAGGUACAACACCUACUAGGUUGUUGAAUCCAAGCACCAAAUUCUCUAGAUUUGGAAGAUACCCAAUUUCGUGAGGUAUCUCGCCUGCAAAAUUAACAGAGAUGCAAAAAACUCUUUUAGAAAAUCUUAUUUAGACAAAUGUAUCUAAGAAAGUUCAAGAAUGAUUAAUAAUAGCAUUUACAAAGUAUUUAUUAUAAACAUUUAUACCGCGAAGUUUAUUAUUUCUGAGAGAUAUCUUUCGAAGUAUAGUCAAGUUGCUGAUUUCUUUCGGUAUGGCUCCUGAUAAUUUAUUGAACCCCAAAUUUAACAGUUGUAGCCGUUUGCACUUGGAUAAAGCCAGUGGUAUUUGACCGUGAAACAUGUUUUUGGCCAAAAAAAGGACUUGUAAAUAGUGAAGAUAAUUGUAAAUAUUUACUGGGAGUUCACCAGAGAGUUUGUCACUAUCCAAACGAAUAUCUAAUACCGAAGACAAGUUGAAGGUGACGGAGGACAAAGAACCAGAGAGCUGAUUAUCACUGAAAUCAAGAAAUUUCAGCUUAUGCAUGGUGAAGAUGGAGGGGGGAAUGUCGCCGGAAAGCUUGUUAUGACUAAGAUUAAGUGUUGUCAGUGAAGAAAGGUUUCCAAGUUGAGGGGGGAUGGUACCUUGUAGAUUUGCUUUUAAAUGUCCAUGCUUGAGAAUCGAUUACUAAUUAUGUAUACACAAACAUUUGUGCAUUUUAAAAUGCGAAUUUGAAGAUAUUAAAUAAAAUUAUAAAUUAUGAGUGCAUCAACAACCAUCACUACAAUCUGGAAUAAAUAUGAUUCUCUAUUUUUGUUUUGAUUUAUGAAUUUUGAUAAGGAGCCAUAUUUGUGGGACGCAUUGUCAUGCCGACAUUGAUGAUUACCAAAGAGUGCAUCGACAUUGAUGAUUACCAAAUUUUUAUUUGGAGUGAAAGGUCUUUUUGAAAUCAUUAAAAAGUCAUUUGUAGAAAUCUUUGUCAUUAGUGGACCACCGUAAGGACAUCCAGAAUAUGCAGUUGCGUUUACAGGAAAUUUUAUAUAAUUAUUUACAUAUAUAUAUAUAUAUAUAUACACGUGUGAGUGUAAUGGACCGUUAACAGUGCUUGCACUAACUCUCUCAAAUGAAUGAUUUGUGUAUUAUAUACAUUGAAUUUUAACAACGUGUUUUCGGGGAGACAUUUUGCUUUUGUUGUUUUAUCUUUUUAUGUUAAUGUUUAAGAAAAAUAGUGUCGUGAGCCAAAUAAUGAAAUUAAUACACGAGGGGCUGUCUUCAAAAUUUUUUCUUUACCAACUAUCAUAAGACAUGAUGAGGCUUAUUAGUAUUGCAAAAUCAAGAAGAGAAUUUGGGAUUUGCAAAUGAGAAAACGGAGCUGUUUGCUUACUCGCUCAAGCUCAAUGGACUCUUAACAAUUGGUUGGCGUCGUGGAUAAAUAAAUGGAUACGCUCCAGAAAAAGAUAAGUGAACACCAUUAUUAAUGUGAUUGACACAAACGCCGUGUACAAAAGAAAUGCCAAAACCACACACAAGGAGAAAGCCAGCCAAUCACCGAGCGCCACGAAAUGAAAACGAAGAAAGGAAGAAGCCAAAACUAAUUAAUAAAUAAAAAGUGUUCGGAAAAUUGGGUUCUAUAAAAACGCAAGUAUCGAAGGCUCGCUUCUUUCUGUGGCGUGCACAAACAGCUAAGGACUGUUCCCGGUUGUUGACCUAACGCACAAACGGACAAAACACAAAUGUGGGCCGCACGUUAAAUUACUCCCCCAAAAAUAUAAAAGAAAAAGAUGAUUAAUUAAUUAAUGGAAAAUUAAUCAAUUUUGUUUGAUUUAACUCUUAAUUUAUUGUGCCAUGUUGUGUGGAGUUACCACUAUUUGAAGAUAUGUCAGUGCAUUGGUAUGCGACAUGUCCUACUUCUCAAUAAGGUUUCAAUAAUAGUUCAUCCAAAUGUUUAUUGUGGUAGUAGCCUAGUUGAAAAUUUAUGUAGAUUCUUUUUUUUUUUUUAAUUGGCAUAAAUUCGAAAGCUCUAACACUCAGUCAUCUACCGACCGAUAAUCCUACCAAGCCUGAGUAUAAUAAGCUUAUAAGCCAAACCAAUGUUCAUUAGAAAAUGUAGAGUCCGAAUNNNNNNNNNNNNNNNNNNNNNNNNNNNNNNNNNNNNNNNNNNNNNNNNNNNNNNNNNNNNNNNNNNNNNNNNNNNNNNNNNNNNNNNNNNNNNNNNNNNNNNNNNNNNNNNNNNNNNNNNNNNNNNNNNNNNNNNNNNNNNNNNNNNNNNNNNNNNNNNNNNNNNNNNNNNNUGUCUUCCCAGAUGCUUGAGCUUGAGAGGGGGAGUUAAAACAGAAGGCGUUUGGUAUAAGUAUCCAAACUGUUUGAUAAAAUGCACCAAUGGACAAAUACUUGGCAAGUUGGCGGGAAAGCUUGUAUUUGAAAUCUACAGCAUGGAAGACACCAAUAAUAAGGCAUGAGAUUGAAAGGUCUUGAAGUCUCCAAGAUCAGAGAAGAUCAAUGGACAAGAUUGAGAGCCAACCAUCAAGGGUCAAGAUUGACCGUAGAAUAAAACAAUAGUGCACAACAUACCUUAUCAUCUUUGGAUUCUAACUACAUCAAUUCCUAGCCCUUACCAGCAGUAAAUUAUCUUUGCACUUUUUUUCUGAACCCUUGGCUUCAGUUUUCGUAAACUAAUCUCUUUCAUAGUACUUAGGUACUUUACGAUUUUAACACGACAAACAAAAAAGCAUAAUUUUUUAAUUAUUCCACCCUUAUAUAUGUCCCAUUUGUCAUUCUGAAUUCUUUUUGCUAUUUGUGUAUGGAAACAGAAAACAGAGGACAGAAGGCGCCCUCAGGAGAGGGUUCAAGAGGCUGAUGAAUUUAGCGUGCUCGGGAUGUGGGAAAGGAAUGUUUGAGUCUCCAUGGGACUCGAAUUUUGUGCUCUAAACAAAGUUGGGGACACAAACCUACCAAUAGGUGUCCAAAGCAUUGGUGGCAAUCAGAUGCUUUUCUUGAACUUGAAGUUUUGUUUAAUAAAUUAAAUCAUAUUCUUUUAGUGUAGCUCGACUUCUUAGCCUGCAGCGAAACCACUAUUCUACGUAAACACAUGCAAGAAAAGAGAAAGUAUAUAACAAAGGUUAUCAAUAGCAUUUCCAGGAAGAACUAAAUCAACGCUGCCCAUGGAAACAAGAUGACUACAACAGUUUUCUCAAGAAAAAAAAAAUAUGAAAGGAAAAGAUAUAAGAUUCCUACACUUAUUACAUGAAUUUAUGCCGUACUAUGAAUCAAAUUAAUUUCACAAUUAGAUAAAUAUCAAUAACAUUUUGAUAUGAGGAUCGUAAAAAUCGAUGAUUUGGAAAAUUUAAAAUGAACUAAAAAAGUUGUUUGAAGCAAACCUGGUGCCAUAUAGCCUAUAGUGGCAAGGGUUUUUGUUCACAUCAUUGACUCAUCUUCUCCACUUAAAAGCUUUGUGUUAGAGUGCAAUUUAUGCACUAGUUUUGCAUUGUUUACUUCUCUUAAUAUCGAUAUUUUGCACUUAAUAAUAGUGAUUUACUUGUGUUUUACUUUUGUAGGUGCAAUUCUAUUGAUUGGUGAUAAAAUUGAGCUACAAGAUGAUAUUUAAGGGUGAUUGUUUUCUUGGAAAAAGUAUGAGCGUCAGAUGAACUUUGUUGAUAAGGCGUGGGCGCGUGCUGUCAACUACGGACCUGCAGUUUUUAGUUUAACGUGUUUUGUAUUUUUGGUUAUUUUUGUAAUUACGAAUUUAAUAUUUUAGAUAUUAGUAUUUUAUUUUAAAUAGAACUCUAAAAGAGAAGAGAGAGAGAGUAUUUAAGGG